GUCAGGAUGAAGAAGAUGGCGGCGGCCGU
rnacentral:piRNA from 1 species